UAUGAACAAGAAAUAAACUUGUGUGGUGUAAAGGCAUUGAUUUCUGAACUUUGUUUCUUACACAGCAAAGCUUCGUGGAUUAUGACUAAUAUACUCCCAUUUUUUUCAGGUAAGAAAACUGAGCCUCAGAGAGGGGAGGUGACACACUUAAAGUCAUUGGAGCUACAGUGAGAGCUGGGAUUCCGCCCCUGGUGGUCUCAUGGGGUCAUGCGGACGAAGACUCACAUUAUGAAUUGCCUCCCUGGAGAAACCAACCCCUCCUUCCCCAAAGAAGGCCUUGAUCCAAUAAACCAACUUUUAACGGAACAGCAUCUUUCAAUCGAAGGAUGAUGGCAACUUAUCUCUGGGUCCUAGCUCUGUGGUGACAUGAAUUCUCUGAGCUCCCCAAUCUCACUCAAGGGGAAUGUCCUGAAGCCCAGAGAGGAAGACUGAUUCACGGAAGGCCACCCAGCAAGUCUGGUUGCUUCAUACCAAGCAGAACAACUCCCCUCUUAGCCAUGAUCAGAAGGAGACUUGGCAUCAGCAAGGACCCUUCCCCAAAGAUUCUGGCUCUUUCUGCUGCUGAAAUCGGAGAGAUGAA